rnacentral:lncRNA from 1 species
CAAAUCAUACUGCUGUGUAAUCAGUAUAUGUUCCAAAUAUGUUCUCAUGACAAAAUUCAAUGGUCCAUUGGCUCGAUACAUAACUAUAACCUUUAGUUCAAUACAUAAGCAAACCAAAUUAGUCUACCAUCUCUGUCUAAGAAUUCUUUGUCCAAUAUACCAAAGAUUAUAUACCAAAGAAUCUGUAACCUAUACCAAAGAUAUGUCUCAUGUAUUCUAUAGAAAAAACAGACUUUCAUAGCAGCUAUUUCUAUAGAAAAAAAAGCUACUUCAUAGCAGCCGGGGCUGAAUAAGCAUCACCCAUUUGUAACUAAACUGCAAAACAACAGAAGUAGCUUAACAUUACAGAAGCAGCAACUUUUUUUUUAAUGACAAAACUGACAGAAUCUUAUAAGAUUUAAAAUUGUUCAAUGAACAAAAACAUUACAGCAAAUGAAAAACUCAAUUCUGCAGCAAACAGUUACAUAUGAUCUUAUUCUCACAUCACAAUAGCUCUGUAAUCUGCAUAACAAUUCAGGAUCUGCCACAUGCAUAAUCACCUUAAUUAGGAGUUCAAUUUCUGUGAAAGCUAUUUAACUUUACCAUCAAAGUUACAUAGAGUUUGUCACCCACUCUGUCAACAAACCAAUAGUAAGCAUGCCUCCAUUUCCUAAUAAGAAACAAAGAACCAAAAAUCCAACUCCCAUGCCUCGAUACAACGAUUCUCUUAUAGAGUCACCGAAGUUACAGAAGCAGCAACUUCACAUUAACAUCACAGAAAAAUUGCUUCAGCAUUGAAUUAACGAAUUGUGAAGAAUGGAGAAAGGAAGAAUACCUGGUUAGAGCGAUUGGAAUCAAUUGGAGAGUAUGAGCUUGGUUCGAUUGGAAGAGAACAUCAUCGAUUAGGGUUCAAUUGGAGAGAUCAUCGUGAAUUUGGGAUUUAGGGUUCAUCGUUUAGGGUUCAAUUGGAGCUUGGAGAUAUCAGAAUCAUGCACAUGGUGAUGAUGUUGUUUGCGAAUUGCGACUUUGCGUGAAUGAAUUUUGUGCGUGAAUGGUGAAUGACCAAUUAGAGUGGUUUUUGUGCGUGAAUUA